UGAGGAAUAUUGGUCAAUGGGCGCUAGCCUGAACCAGCCAAGUAGCGUGAAGGAUGACUGCUCUAUGGGUUGUAAACUUCUUUUAUAUGGGAAUAAAGUGCAGUAUGUAUACUGCUUUGCAUGUACCUUAUGAAUAAGGAUCGGCUAACUCCGUGCC
rnacentral:rRNA from 1 species